rnacentral:rRNA from 1 species
UAAAAACCCCGACUUCGGAAGGGGUGUAUUUAUUAGAUACAAAACCAAUGCCCUUCGGGGCUCUUUGGUGAUUCAUGAUAACUAUACGAAUCGCACGGCCUUGCGCCGGCGAUGGUUCAUUCAAAUUUCUUCCCUAUCAACUUUCGAUGUUUGGGUAUUGGCCAAACAUGGUUGCAACGGGUAACGGAGGGUUAGGGCUCGACCCCGGAGAAGGAGCCUGAGAAACGGCUACUACAUCCAAGGAAGGCAGCAGGCGCGCAAAUUACCCAAUCCCGACUCGGGGAGGUAGUGACAAUAAAUACUGAUACAGGGCCCUUUCGGGCCUUGUAAUUGGAAUGAGUACAAUUUAAAUCCCUUAACGAGGAACAAUUGGAGGGCAAGUCUGGUGCCAGCAGCCGCGGUAAUUCCAGCUCCAAUAGCGUAUAUUAAAGUUGUUGUGGUUAAAAAGCCCGUAGUUGAACCUUGGGCCUGGCUGGCCGGUCCGCCUCACCGCGUGCACUGGUCCGGCCGGGCCUUUCCCUCUGUGGAACCCCAUACCCUUCACUGGGCGUGGCGGGGAAACAGGACAUUUACUUU